rnacentral:miRNA from 1 species
GUAUUUUUGGGGUCGGAGGAAUU